rnacentral:rRNA from 1 species
UGUUUCGGCAAGGGGGUCAUCCCGACUUACCAACCCGAUGCAAACUGCGAAUACCGGAGAAUGUUAUCACGGGAGACACACGGCGGGUGCUAACGUCCGUCGUGAAGAGGGAAACAACCCAGACCGCCAGCUAAGGUCCCAAAGUCAUGGUUAAGUGGGAAACGAUGUGGGAAGGCCCAGACAGCCAGGAUGUUGGCUUAGAAGCAGCCAUCAUUUAAAGAAAGCGUAAUAGCUCACUGGUCGAGUCGGCCUGCGCGGAAGAUGUAACGGGGCUAAACCAUGCACCGAAGCUGCGGCAGCGACGCUGAUGCGUUGUUGGGUAGGGGAGCGUUCUGUAAGCCUGCGAAGGUGUGCUGUGA